ensembl:lncRNA
ACGGGUAUAAAUGAUUGUUAUUAUAAUUGUUUAAGAUAUGAUGAACACAUCCCACUGCAUGGGCUAUAUGAACCACACACUACCUCUCACAAGGUAAGACAAAACUCUGCACAUCACCUCAUCCAGUCAGUGGUAGGUAUUGGUGCUGCACAUGACUUCAUCCACUCAGUGGUGCUGCACAUGACCUCAUCCAGUCAGUGGUAGGUAUUAGUGCUGCACAUCACCUCAUCCACUCAGUGGUGCUGCACAUGACCUCAUCCAGUCAGUGGUAGGUAUUAGUGCUGCACAUCACCUCAUCCACUCACUGGUAGGUAUUGGUGCUGCACAACACCUCAUCCACUCACUGGUAGGUAUUGGUGCUGCACAACACCUCAUCCACUCAGUAGUAGGUAUUGGUGCUGCACAUCACCUCAUCCACUCAGUGGUAGGUAGGUACUGGUGCUGCACAUCACCUCAUCCACUCAGUGGUAGGUAGGUAUUGGUGCUGCACAUCACCUCAUCCACUCAGUGGUAGGUAUUGGUGCUGCACAACACCUCAUCCACUCAGUGGUAGGUUUUGGUGCUGCACAACACCUCAUCCACUCAGUGGUAGGUUUUGGUGCUGCACAUGACCUCAUCCACUCAGUGGCAGGUAUUAGUGCUGCACAUCACCUCAUCCACUCACUGGUAGGUAUUAGUGCUGCACAUCACCUCAUCCACUCAGUGGUAGGUUUUGGUGCUGCACAUGACCUCAUCCACUCAGUGGUAGGUAUUGGUGCUGCACAUCACCUCAUCCACUCAGUGGUAGGUAUUGGUGCUGCACAACACCUCAUCCACUCAGUGGUAGGUUUUGGUGCUGCACAUCACCUCAUCCACUCAGUGGUAGGUUUUGGUGCUGCACAACACCUCAUCCACUCAGUGGUAGGUUUUGGUGCUGCACAUGACCUCAUCCACUCAGUGGUAGGUAUUGGUGCUGCACAACACCUCAUCCACUCAGUGGUAGGUUUUGGUGCUGCACAACACCUCAUCCACUCAGUGGUAGGUUUUGGUGCUGCACAUGACCUCAUCCACUCAGUGGCAGGUAUUAGUGCUGCACAUCACCUCAUCCACUCACUGGUAGGUAUUAGUGCUGCACAUCACCUCAUCCACUCAGUGGUAGGUUUUGGUGCUGCACAUGACCUCAUCCACUCAGUGGUAGGUAUUGGUGCUGCACAUCACCUCAUCCACUCAGUGGUAGGUAUUGGUGCUGCACAACACCUCAUCCACUCAGUGGUAGGUAUUGGUGCUGCAUAUCACCUCAUCCACUCAGUGGUAGGUAUUGGUGCUGCACAUGACCUCAUCCACUCACUGGUACAGUAGGUUAAGCAUUGUUUCUUGCCUUUUUAAAUAUCACAACAGUGCUUUCUUUGAAUAAAGGUUUGGAUGGUCCAAUUUUCAAAGGUCUCUAUCGUUGUUAUUGCAAUGUAGGGCAAACUAAGACACUAACAAAAUUAACAUUUGGCUUCAUUGACAUGUACCCCAUAUAGACAUUGUACUGAAACACAGCUGAUUGAUUGAAACAAUAGGUGGUCGUCUAUACCAGCGGUUCCCAAACUGUGGGGCGGGGCGCCCCGGCGCCCCCGCAGUGGCAGCAUGUGGUCCUCCCCUCUCCAUUUAAAAAUAUAUAUAUAUACGUAUAUAUAGAGAUUUUUUAAAGGAACUCAGUCCAGCUUUAAACUUACUCCUCCUGAAAGUGAUAAUGGUAGAAUGUACAAGGUGACAUUUCUAAAUGGGCUAUGACAUCAUCAGCUCCUCUUGUCAUGUUAGUCAUUGUUCACAUUAGAGAGAUGUUUAUAACUAGUCAGGAAUGUCCAGAUCAAUCAGCCCGUGGCUGUCUUUUUUACUUACUUUUUUUUUUUAGCUCAUAAAUAUUGUUGUAGUUUUUGAGUCACUCAAAUAUCACAUGAAUACACAUUAGACGUGAUCAAAUUUGUAAAUAAUUGCAAGAAAAUUAGCAUUAAAACGACAACAUUUUCCUGUGACAAAAUGUGUAGAAUUGCAGGAAAUACGCUUUAAAUCUGCUAAAUUCUCUCUACCAACAAGCGGGGUGUUAACAGUUUGUGUCAUGAACAGUGCUUGUGCCCAUAGGGGGGACGUUUGGGAACCCCUGAUCUAUAACCAACAACAGAACACAAGGACAAUUUAUUAUUAUUGCAAAUCAAAGACGUGAAAGUCGAUGCCAAACCAUUGUCGACAACCACAAAACCCCCGGAUAGGACAACUGAGGUAUUUCAGAUUAGACUCACACACACACACACACACACACACACACACACACACACACACACACACACACACCCUGCCAUCUUGCUAUAGACAGAUCUAUAAAUUCAAGCCCCGGCUCUGCAUAUACAUACAAUCUGACCAUUAUGUAGAGAUGAAGACACUGUACCAGUUAGGUGAGUUAGUUGAUAUGCCAUCACUUACUGUUCCCACUGUUUAUACCAUAGGACUCUGGAUGGAUGGGUUCUAACCGUUACUGUUCCCACUGUUUAUUCCAUAGGACUCUGGAUGGAUGGGUUCUAACCGUUACUGUUUAUUCCAUAGGACUCUGGAUGGAUGGGUUCUAACCGUUACUGUUUAUUCCAUAGGACUCUGGAUGGAUGGGUUCUAACCGUUACUGUUUAUUCCAUAGGACUCUGGAUGGAUGGGUUCUAACCGUUACUGUUUAUACCAUAGGACUCUGGAUGGAUGGGUUCUAACCGUUACUGUUUAUUCCAUAGGACUCUGGAUGGAUGGGUUCUAACCGUUACUGUUCCCACUGUUUAUACCAUAGGACUCUGGAUGGAUGGGUUCUAACCGUUACUGUUUAUUCCAUAGGACUCUGGAUGGAUGGGUUCUAACCGUUACUGUUUAUUCCAUAGGACUCUGGAUGGAUGGGUUCUAACCGUUACUGUUCCCACUGUUUAUUCCAUAGGACUCUGGAUGGAUGGGUUCUAACCGUUACUGUUUAUUCCAUAGGACUCUGGAUGGAUGGGUUCUAACCGUUACUGUUUAUUCCAUAGGACUCUGGAUGGAUGGGUUCUAACCGUUACUGUUCAUAACUGUUUAUACCAUAGGACUCUGGAUGGAUGGGUUCUAACCGUUACUGUUCAUUCCAUAGGACUCUGGAUGGAUGGGUUCUAACCGUUACUGUUUAUUCCAUAGGACUCUGGAUGGAUGGG